GAUGGGUUGUUGUACUGGUAGCUGUGGUCUGUCGGAGGGAGGUUGUGACUCUGGGUGGCACUGAAGUGGGCCCAGGAGUUGGGGUGGUUGGUCGAGGAGUUGGGGUGGUUGGUCGAGGAGUUGGUGUGGUUGGUCGAGGAGUUGGUGUGGUUGGUCGAAGAGUUGGUGUGGUUGGUCGAGGAGUUGGUGUGGUUGGUCGAAGUGUUGCUGUGGUUGGUCGAGGAGUUGGUGUGGUUGGUCGAGGCAUUGGUGUGGUUGGUCGAAGUGUUGCUGUGGUUGGUCGAGGAGUUGGUGUGGUUGGUCGAAGAGUUGGUGUGGUUGGUCGAGGAGUUGGUGUGGUUGGUCGAGGAGUUGGUGUGGU